rnacentral:tRNA from 1 species
AGAGAGGUGCCAGAGUGGUAAUGGAGCAGCCUGGAAAGCUGUGGUCGAGAAAUCGGCUCCAGGGUUCGAAUCCCUGUCUCUCUGC